rnacentral:snRNA from 1 species
CAAAAUACCUGGCAGGUAAGUAUGAUCAUGAAGGUUGUUUUCCCAGGGCAAGGCUUAUCUUUUGUACUCCAGCUGUGCUGACCCCUGCGAUUUCCCCAAAUGUGGGAAACUCGACUGCAAAAAUUGUGGAGAU